UACGUAGGUGGCAAGCGUUGUUCGGAUUUAUUGGGCGUAAAGGGCGCGUAGGUGGUUUGGUAAGCCCUGCGUGAAAUCUCCGGGCCUAACCCGGAAAGUGCGGAGGGGACUGCUCGGCUAGAGGAUGGGAGAGGAGCGCGGAAUUCCCGGUGUAGCGGUGAAAUGCGUAGAGAUCGGGAGGAAGGCCGGUGGCGAAGGCGGCGCUCUGGAACAUUUCUGACGCUGAGGCUCGAAGGCGUGGGGAGCAAACAGG
rnacentral:rRNA from 1 species